AUGGACACUGCUGGCCUGCAGUGCAAACCGAUAGGUUAUUUAAUUUCAGAAUUGGUUACAAUUAGGUUAAGGGUCAGAUUUAGAAUAUAUUGGCUCAUUGUUUUCAGGUCAGUAGGUACCCACACUUUUCUUCGAGUGUCUUUUAAAAUCCUCAUCAAUCAGCAGACAAUCUUUCUACAUGAUUACCUGAUUGGUCAAUCUACACCCACGCCGAGGAAGUGCAAACAGAGUUCUUCCGGUCACUGUGUUUGGUUUGAAUCGAAGAAGAAUGUCAGUAAGGAGGAUAUUAGAGGCACUUUAGUCAACAAGAUGAAGAUCAAACAACGUUCAAAAACUACGCCACUGCACAAAAAAACCAUGGGGACUAAACGCCAUGGAAACCUGGGUAUAACACAAACAGAACAUGACCCACAGUCAGGUGAUGACUCCACCGGCAGAGAUGAACCAGAUUGUACCCAAGCACUCUCAAAGAGCACCAGUUCAAAUCAUCAUUCAGAUUCUAGUACACUCCACAAGGAUCCUGUGGUAGUGCUAACCAGGUUGGCUGAGGUGGUGGUUAAGACACUUCUGAGAGACAUUAAAGUGUGUUUGGUGAAGGAGGUGACGGAUGUCAGGAAGGAUGAAGACAACCAUGGAGGUUCUCCUCAGUUCUUUCCUUGUCCACACUGCACCAUCUCCUUUACUGACUGUUACUUCCUGGAGAACCACAUCAAGACCAAACACCAGAAGCAGUACCUGGCCAUGUUGAGAAGCCAAGUCUCAAAGAGUAAAAGAGUGUACGGCCCCACACACAGCUGUGCCCACUGUAGCUGCAUGUUCCAUACACCACGACAGCUAGACAUCCACACCCGCCAGGCCCACCCCUCUGCCCGUCCCCAGAAACCUGCCCCUCCCCGGAGAACUGGCCGUCCCCACAGGGUACAGGAGAAAUUCCACACCUGCCCACAGUGCUCCCGCAGAUUCAAGUACCUGGGCAGCCUGCUGAAGCACUGCAAGAGUUUGCACAAAAUGGCUGUUGUUCUCACCAAUGGACACAUCAGUUGCGCAGACUGUGAGAAGAGCUUUGAGAAUUGCUGGGGCCUGGGGCCUCACCGGUGUCACGAACCAGAGGGCAAUAAACCGAAGGACGCUAAACAGAUGGUCAUUAAGGAAGUCGGCUUCCAAUGCUUAGAUUGUGGCAAGAUCCUCACUACUCCUACGAGCCUGAACNNNNNNNNNNUGUCCACACUGCACCAUCUCCUUUACUGACUGUUACUUCCUGGAGAACCACAUCAAGACCAAAC
rnacentral:lncRNA from 13 species